ACAAUGGAGAGUUUGAUCCUGGCUCAGGAUGAACGCUAGCGGCAGGCUUAACACAUGCAAGUCGUGGGGCAGCGCGGACUUCGGUCUGGCGGCGACCGGCAAACGGGUGCGGAACACGUACG
rnacentral:rRNA from 1 species